rnacentral:rRNA from 1 species
UACGAAGGGGGCUAGCGUUGCUCGGAAUCACUGGGCGUAAAGGGCGCGUAGGCGGACUUUUAAGUCGGGGGUGAAAGCCCAGGGCUCAACCCUGGAAUUGCCUUCGAUACUGAGAGUCUUGAGUUCGGAAGAGGUUGGUGGAACUGCGAGUGUAGAGGUGAAAUUCGUAGAUAUUCGCAAGAACACCAGUGGCGAAGGCGGCCAACUGGUCCGAUACUGACGCUGAGGCGCGAAAGCGUGGGAAGCAAACAGG